AUGGGUUCCCGCCAGAGAUCUAUAUUGAAGAUUCUGCCCAACUUACGGAAGUAUAUUUGUCAUCUUUAUAUCCACCCGGAAUUCUCGCUUACAGUCGUGCGAAGCUUCCAUCUAUCGCCAGCAAUGUCGAGAGGCUUACCCUGGUGUUCUGCGGUGAGAAUGUCAACACGCCGAUGCUUCAUGAAAAGCUCCACCACCUCAAGAGUUUGGAGUUUGAAUUUCACGGCUCAGGAGCCUGCUCCCCUCUAUGAUAUCUUCUCUCUGGUUUCUUUUCUUGAUGCUUCUCCUGCCUUGGAAUCUUUGAUCUUGCGUGUAGCACGAAACGCCAUAGACAUAGUAGAUCAUUGUGAUGCUGGGGACGAUGUAUACCUAAAGGGGAAAUCAGCAUACCAGCAUGACAGCCUCAAACGGGUGACGAUCACGGGCUUCUGUUCAGCCAGGAGCCUGAUUAGGCUUGUGAUCAGCAUCCUUGAGAGCGCUCCUUCACUCGAGCGCCUCACGCUGGAUACGACACCCCGUGGCUGCGGUAGGAAGCUUGGCGAUACUAGCAUAUGCACUGCCGCAAAAUAUAGGAGUAAAUGCUGUUGGAUAAGCGAGAGAUCCCUCGAAGAGUCUAACAGAGCUGUUGAGGCUGCAGGUAGAUACAUCGCUGGGAGAGUUCCAUCGGCUGUUGAAUUUGAGGUCCUUGAGCCCUGUAGGCGAUGCCAUACUGGCAACCCGGUAGAUGAUGUGUUAAAUAAAAGUUAG
rnacentral:rRNA from 1 species